rnacentral:rRNA from 1 species
CGGAGGUGUAAGUGCAGCAAUGUAUGUAGCUUACCGAUACUAAUAGAUCGAGGACUUGACCAA